rnacentral:rRNA from 1 species
UAGUUAGUUGGUKGAGGUAAUGGCUUACCAAGGCGAUGAUAGGUAGGCGCCUUAACGGGUGGUCGCCCACACUGGGAUUGAGAUACGGCCCAGACUCCUACGGAGGCAGCAGUCGAGAAUAGUCUACAAUGGUCGAAAGACUGAUAGUGCGACGCCGCGUGAACGAAGACUCCUUUCGGGGUGUAAAGUUCUUUUAUAUGUGAGCAGUGGAUGUUACAUUAAUAGUGUGAUAUCAGGGAUAUUAGCAUAUGAAUAAGCAACGGCUAACUCCGUGCCAGCAGCCGCGGUAACACGGGGGUUGCGAGCGUUGUCCGGAAUUACUAGGCGUAAAGGGCAGGUAGGCGGAGAUGUAAGUUUGAUGUUAAAGGUACUGGCUCACCCAGUGUACGGCAUCAGAUACUGCAUUUCUUGAAUACGGUUGGGGAAGACAGAAUUCCUGGUGUAGCGGUGGAAUGCGCAGAGAUCAGGAGGAAUACCGAAGGCGAAGGCAGUCUUCUAAGCCGGUUAUUGACGCUAAACUGCGAAGGUGUGGGUAUCAAACAGGAUUAGAUACCCUGGUAGUCCACACAGUAAACGAUAAUCACUAGGUGUCGGGUUCUUAACAAUGGAUUCGGUGCCGUAGCUAACGCGUUAAGUGAUUCGCCUGGGGAGUACGAUCGCAAGGUUGAAACUCAAAGGAAUUGACGG